CAAUUGCAUUUGCUUUUACCAUGGCCUCAAAGGUCUUAGGUCUUCGAGUCCUCUGCCGACUGGAAGAGGAGUGUCCCUCCAAUGCAGGGAACCUGUCUUCCUAGAGGGAGUUUCUAGGCCUAUAUCUCCCCAUCCCCCACUGGCUGGCUCACUAAACUCCUAUGUGUGACGCUCACUAAACUCCUAUGUGUGACGAAGGCGCUUGCCUGCCUCAAAAAUGACCAGCAGUUCAGGUCAAAAGACUAAGGCCUGUUGACGGGCAAGGGAUUUGGAGGCCAGGAAGAAGGCAGAAAAGGCCAAGGUCCAAAGCACAAUAAACACGAAAAGAAAAACGAGAUGCAGCAUGGCUCGCCCAUUAGCGCAGACUCGAGGGGCCACAGCCUGAGGUGGCCUGCAGAAAGCCAAGAGCCAAAGUCCAAAAAUAAGAAGGUUACUGACGGUGGCUCCACAUGUUAGCCUCACCUCCUGACCUCGUCCUGCCCACAGGCAUAGUCCUCCAGUUUCCCAGGGAGCCGUGGUCCUGCAUCUCUCUACUCUGCAGGACUUGCCCUAAGACAUCGAUCUCAUGCACAUGCAGUUUAUCCUGCCCUUGUUGAAGGGGCCGCUACUUGGAUCUAGCCUUAAUCUCUUAGCACCUCGUCCUCCACGAAGGCAGAUGAAGACCACGCCUUUUUCCCUUCCGAGCCCUUACACCGUGCCUGGCGAUCUUGAAGGUACUGCAUAAUUGCAUGCACACGAAUGAGUGUAUGAGACAUUUUAAGGCUGGAGAGAUGGCUCAGUGGUUAAGAGCACUGACUGCUCUUCCAGAGGUCCUGAGUUCAAAUCCCAGCAAUCACAUGGUGGCUCACAACCAUCUGUAAUGGGAUCCGAUGCUCUCAUCUGGUGUGUCUGAAGACAGCUACAGUGUACUCAUAUACAAAAUAUAUAAAUAAAUCUUAAAAAAAA